rnacentral:tmRNA from 1 species
AAUGGUUUCGACGGGGGCAAGUUGCUCCUGGGAAGCGAGUCGAAGGGAUCCUGUACCUGCGUUAAAAAACUGGGAAUUUAAAUAUAAUUGCAAACGAUAAUUUUGCAUUAGCUGCCUAAUAGUUGCAGCUCGUCAGCCUAAGAGUCCCACGACUUAGGGUCUGGCGUCGACAGUGGGGAACCGAGCCUUACAAAGCUUUGAGUAAGGAACGGAAUUAAUGAAGCUACUGAAUCUAAGAGCCUGUUUAUCAGCGCUUAGAGGAGGGAAUGUAAAAGGAUAAACUGCACUCGGAGAUGCCCAGGGGUUGCUGCUUCCGGACAGGGGUUCGAUUCA